AACGAACACUGGCGGCAGGCUUAACACAUGCAAGUCGAACGCAUCCUUCGGGGUGAGUGGCAGACGGGUGAGUAACGCGUGGGAACGUGCCCUUCAGUUCGGGAUAACCCAGGGAAACUUGGGCUAAUACCGGAUACGUGCGAGAGCAGAAAGAUUUAUCGCUGAAGGAUCGGCCCGCGUCUGAUUAGCUAGUUGGUGGGGUAAUGGCCCACCAAGGCGACGAUCAGUAGCUGGUCUGAGAGGAUGAUCAGCCACAUUGGGACUGAGACGCGGCCCAAACUCCUACGGGAGGCAGCAGUGGGGAAUAUUGGACAAUGGGCGCAAGCCUGAUCCAGCCAUGCCGCGUGAGUGAUGAAGGCCUUAGGGUUGUAAAGCUCUUUCGUCCGGGACGAUAAUGACGGUACCGGAAGAAGAAGCCCCGGCUAACUUCGUGCCAGCCGCCGCGUAA
rnacentral:rRNA from 1 species